rnacentral:rRNA from 1 species
GCUGGCGGCGUGCUUACACAUGCAAGUCAAUGGGAAAGUCUCAGCUUGCUGAGAUGAGUAUACUGGCGGAUGGGUGAGUAACACGUAUGUAAUCUGCCCUUAGGACAGGGAUAACAUUGCUAACGCGAUGCUAAUACCUGAUGAAGCAACUGUUGAAUCAGAUGGUUGUUAAAGGCUGGCUUUCAGCUAGCGCCUGAGGAUGAGCCUGCGUCUCAUUAGCUAGUUGGUAGGGUAAUGGCCUACCAAUGCGACGAUGGGUAGCCGGCCUGAGAGGGUGAGCGGCCACACUGGGACUGAGAUACGGCCCAGACUCCUACGGGAGGCAGCAGUGAGGAAUAUUGCGCAAUGGCCGAAAGGUUGACGCAGCGACGCCGCGUGAGGGAUGAAGCUUUUAGGAGUGUAAACCUCUGUUAGGAGGGAAGAAUAAUGGCAAUUCGAACAGGGUUGUCAGAUGACGGUACCUCCAGAGGAAGCCCCGGCUAACUCCGUGCCAGCAGCCGCGGUAAUACGGGGGGGGCUAGCGUUGUCCGGAAUUACUGGGCGUAAAGGGCGCGUAUGCGGGAUAGCAAGUCAGUGGUGCAAACUUGAGGCUUAACUUCAAGCUUGCCAUUGAUACUGUUAUUCUUGAGUUCGGCAGAGGGAAGUGGAAUUCCUGGUGUAGCGGUGAAAUGCGUAGAUAUCAGGAAGAACACCGGUGGCGAAGGCGGCUUCCUGGUCCGAUACUGACGCUGAGGCGCGAAAGCGUGGGGAGCGAACAGGAUUAGAUACCCUGGUAGUCCACGCUGUAAACGAUGGGUACUAGGUGUUGGUUGUAAUGAUCAGCGCCGGAGCAAACGCAUUAAGUACCCCGCCUGGGGAAUACGGUCGCAAGACUGAAACUCAAAGGAAUUGACGGGGGCCCGCACAAGCGGUGGAGCAUGUGGUUUAAUUCGAUGCAACGCGAAGAACCUUACCUGGGCUUGAACUGCAGGUGCUAUCUCCUGAAAGGGAGUUUCCUUCGGGACGCCUGUAGAGGUGCUGCAUGGCUGUCGUCAGCUCG